CUGGAUGAGCAUGUAACUGCUUUAGUAAUCUGCAAGAUAUAUUAUAAGGGAGACCGUUCGAUCUUUGUUGAUCAUUUGAAGAAUCCAUAGUAGGAUGUAUUCUGGAUGAAGUGUAGAUGUUUUAUUUCCUUGUGACUCAAUUGAGACUCACUGAAGAACUAAUUGACUUCAUGUCGAAGAAGAAGACAAUAAUAAUAUCAAAUAAGCUCUACUGAUAAAGAUGGGUAAAAAUAUUUUCUCUCUGAUUAUGAGAUGCUAGGCCGCCAUUCAUGUGAUAAUGGUGUGCAUAAUGAGAUUUGCAUCAUGCUGUAUGACGACUCCAUAGGCAUUUAUAAUAUCUCAAAGAGCGAAAGUAAAUCUGUUUGGCAGUGAUUCUUUUGUCUCUAUAACUUUAUGACUUCAUGAAGGCUGAUCGAGAAACACGUGUCCCUUAUAACAUGAUGUAGAAUUCAUUCGAAAGAAGCUGUUUUUUAUCCGUGAAACAAAUCCACUGAUAAGGUUCCACUUAAUUUGCUUUGUCUCUUCUUGGGCCAAUCCUGGAAUCAAAAGAAUAAAAAAUUGAUAAAGAAUAUUAGUAUCGAAAGAUAGAACCUGGACUAACCCCGGAACCUCUGCUGUCUUCCAACAAUUUCGUUUUUGUGAUCCUCUUCUAAAAUGAGGCUUGCGAAUCUCUUUUACCAAUCUCUGAUUGAGAGACGAUGGCUUCUGUCAUUAUUAGCGACAGUGAGAGGUUUGCCCAUGGACAAGAAGAUUGUUUCUGAAGUCUAUACUUUUCGAAUUGUUGUUGAUGGGCUAAGAAUAAAAAGUGCCGCCAAGUCGGGGUUGGCGGCGGAAGUCUCUAAAAGUGGCAGAUGUUCCAGCUUUCAGGAAGGUAUCCUCGAGACUUAGUUUCUUGAUUCUAUGACAGGGGCUCCUGCUCGUAGAGAUGACGAUGUUGGUCGAGGCUGCGACAAGGCCGAGGGGAUAAGGUUGAGGAGUUGGUGACAGCGGCUUGUUGUGGAAGAAUGUUUUUUCUCCGUGAUAACAUUUGUUGACCGCGUCCGGUGGUACAUACGAUCAUGGCGGGUGAUGAAUUGACGCUAUUUGCACUGUGAAUCCUGCACCUCAAAAUGAAGGCACAAAGACAACAAGAAAAAUUUCUUUUGCUAGAAUGAAAGAACUAGCUUAUAAUAAUUAGUAGCACACGUUAUGUGAGCCUUAAGCAAUGCUUAAAUGAAAAGGUAAUGCCUGCAUGAUUAUCUCAUGGAAUUCCGAGAUUGAGAUUAUACAUUAUAUUAUAAUAAUACAUAAAACAAGUGCGUCAGUAUGUAUAUUUAUACUAUUAUCCAAUGAUAUAGAUCAAUCUUGGUUGUUAUAAGAUGGAG
rnacentral:lncRNA from 1 species